UACGUAGGUGGCAAGCGUUGUCCGGAUUUAUUGGGUUUAAAGGGUGCGUAGGCGGUGGAUUAAGUCAGUGGUGAAAUACGGCAGCUCAACUGUCGAGGUGCCAUUGAUACUGGUCUACUUGAGUACUGAUGAGGUAGGCGGAAUGGACGGUGUAGCGGUGAAAUGCUUAGAGAUCGUCCAGAACACCGAUAGCGGAGGCAGCUUACUAAGGAGUAACUGACGCUGAGGCACGAAAGUGUGGGGAUCAAACAGG
rnacentral:rRNA from 1 species